rnacentral:rRNA from 1 species
AUUGAACGCUGGCGGCAUGCCUUACACAUGCAAGUCGAACGGUAACAGGUCUUCGGAUGCUGACGAGUGGCGAACGGGUGAGUAAUACAUCGGAACGUGCCUAGUAGUGGGGGAUAACUACUCGAAAGAGUGGCUAAUACCGCAUGAGAUCUACGGAUGAAAGCAGGGGAUCGCAAGACCUUGUGCUACUAGAGCGGCCGAUGGCAGAUUAGGGAGUUGGUGGGAUAAAAGCUUACCAAGCCGACGAUCUGUAGCUGGUCUGAGAGGACGAUCAGCCACACUGGGACUGAGACACGGCCCAGACUCCUACGGGGGGCAGCAGUGGGGAAUUUUGGACAAUGGGCGAAAGCCUGAUCCAGCAAUGCCGCGUGCAGGAUGAAGGCCUUCGGGUUGUAAACUGCUUUUGUACGGAACGAAAAGCCCCGGGUUAAUACCCUGGGUCAUGACGGUACCGUAAGAAUAAGCACCGGCUAACUACGUGCCAGCCGCCGCCGUAA